CAUGUAGGCGGCUUAAUAAGUCGAGCGUGAAAAUGCGGGGCUCAACCCCGUAUGGCGCUGGAAACUGUUAGGCUUGAGUGCAGGAGAGGAAAGGGGAAUCCCCAGUGUAGCGGUGAAAUGCGUAGAUAUUGGGAGGAACACCAGUGGCGAAGGCGCCUUUCUGGACUGUGUCUGACGCUGAGAUGCGAAAGCCAGGGUAGCGAACG
rnacentral:rRNA from 1 species